ensembl:lncRNA
ACGUGAUGAACGAACGACUCGAACCUGAAGACUCCAGACGUGAGCAAAUCGUUUCUGUUUCCGGGGAACAGACGUGACAAUUGUGACGUGACAAAACAAUGAACGACUCGGAUCUGGAGGUGAGGUGAACUAACAGACUGCAUGGCCUUAAGACCAGCUAAGCUAUUAAUUAAUAAUUUCUGUUUCUGAUAAUUUGGCCUUGGUUGGAUUAACAUAUUGUUUAUUUUAUAGUUUAUUAAGUAGCCUACUAGAUGUGUUGGGGAAUUUAACAUGUAAUAUUUGAAUUAUAUUCUGCUGAAAUAAACGAAAUGACUCGGAAAAAAACAUUCGUUCAUUUGGCUGAACGAGAUUCAAAGAUCCGAGUCAGUAAAAUGAUCCGAAUUUCCCAUCACUAGCCCCAGCGCGCUAGGACCUCUCGUCCUUAAUUACUCCCUCACGCGCGCUAAUUAAUUUGCAAUGGAUGAGCAGGUGCGCUUGAGAAGGUAGUUGUAGGUUCCUGGUGAGCGCGUGUCUGGUUGUCUGCCAUGGCCAGAACCGGAUUCUAUGAUUCCAGGACACUGCUGGACCGCAAGGCAGAAGAAGCCCGAUUCCCUUUGCGCGCGUGGGCGAACGCAUGCACUGUGCGGGAGCGAGGGGUGCUGAGUGAGGGAGAGGAGCAGAAACAGCAGCCCAAAGCAGACAAUACAGAGCACAGAUGGGUUAUAAGCGACUCAAACUCGCAGCACAGACGGAGAAGUUGGUGUGGCUUGGCAGUUACUGUGAACUGAGCUGCUUUAAAACACAGAUGAGCUGCACACACUCCGGAGUGCAACACAGUGAC